rnacentral:lncRNA from 1 species
CCUCCUCACCCCAAAAUACCACCCGGUGUCGAGAACGUCAAGGAUAUUGGCCCCCACGGCAAUCUCGCCGUUAUCAACGCCCUCACCAACCUCCACGACCCCAAUGUCGCGCCCUCACCAAUCUCGCCGUAAUCAUCGCCCUCACCACGAUAGUUGACUAGUAUUUAUUUACCAUAGAAAUAAUCUUCCUGAAGGUUACAUAGGACCAUGGACCAAAAUAUCAAUAUUAUCGGCGAUAUUUCUCCGAUAAUAUCGUUUUUGUGAGAGGGCGAUAUUUUCACGAGUAUCCACUUAAUUAUCGUCAAUAUAUUAUGAUAUUAUCGGAGGAAUUCGUCGUUGUCGUAUGGAACCCUACUCCCCCAUUGACAACGACCUCUUCGAUCACCUCCUGGACUCCCUCCUCCUCCUCGUCUGCAACAAGAUCGGUGACUUGAAAAUCCUCGGCCGCCGCUGUGUCGUUCUCUGUGGCGGUGAACGACUCCCGAUGAUGUGGCAGUCAUCGGAUCCCAUUCGUUCGACGGUGGGACCCUCUCGAACCAUUUUUGUUUGCCGUGAAAUGACCUGUGGUGGUCGGAACACCUCUAGACACCCACGGCCUCGCCGGAGAUAGGUGUGCCUAAUCCCGAGCCGAUUUCGUCCCAAAACCUUGGAAAAACACGAGAUAGAACUUAAAAAUUCACAUCUAAGCUUCAAUCUAGAACAGAAAGAGGUAAACCCGAAGCUUACCUAACCGGAGAAGAUUAAGAAGCUUGCCGGAGAGUUCAUGCGUUCGUCGAGUUGCAGAGACGAGAAGGAGAAGGAGAAAGACGAGGUUUGAUGACGAUGGUAAUGAUGUUUGCACGAUGGUGCUGUCGUGUGUGUGUCUCGGCAAUAGAGAGGGAAGAGAUAGAGGAUUGAGAGAGAGAAAGAGAUAGAGUGCAGAGAAAUAAGAAGAAGAAAGAGAAAGGAAAGAGGUCACGGGGUAGGGGACGGAAAGAGAGAAGAGUGAAGAGUGAUAUGGUGAUGCCACGUGGCAGUUUGGGAAUGUUUAGGAAUCUAGAUAAAGGGUCCAUAUUUAAUCAAAAUGAGGGGGGGGCAAAAUGAAAUCUCAAUAAAACUUUAGGGGACUUACGAAAUUAUACAUAUAAUUGGGGGUUGGGGUGUUACAUGCUGCACCCACUACCUGUAACCCAGAAAAAAAAAAUUAAAUAAAACCCUUACAGUUGAGGUAGUUUUGUGUGAAAAAAAUAUAAAUAAAUAAAUAAAACCCUAAUAGUUGAGGUAGUUUUGUGUAAUUUACCCUAAUAUUUAUUAUCUAGGAUAAAUUUCUAUAUUUAAAAAAACACCAAGGGAUUCGAACCCCUCCCAUUUUACUCCUUCAACACCUUGACCACCAUAUCACUUAUGUUUUUAUGAAAAUAUGCUAAAAUAUUUAUAUAUAUGGUUUUGUUUUGAAUUCUUUUUGCAAGAAACAAAUCUACACAUAGAGAUGAUGAAGAUAGUGAAAAUUUUGAACCUCAUAUGAACUCUAUGUGGUACUAAGUCACUCAAGUAUCUUACCAUGCAAUGUAUAAAGUGUAAAAUAUUGUACUAAUUCAUUAUAUAUAAAUGAGUAUGGUGUUUUAAACUUUUUUCAUUAAUUACUACAUAUUUUCUACACUCACAAUGUUUGCCAGCUCGCUAUAUAAUCAACUUAAAUUAGUUAAAUCCAUCUUGCAAUGCAUUUCCUUCCAAUUUUUUGUGAUAAACUAAUAGAUAAUUGACUAAAUAAACAUCCUGCAAAGUUUCAAUAAAAAUUUCCAAGUUUUUUCUUACAAUUUCCGUGGUUUUUAUUCAAUUUUUAUCGAUAUCGAUAAUAUCCUGAUAUUUCCAUCGAUAUUUCCGUGUUUUUUGGAUUACCGAUAUUUCCUAUAUCAUUGAUAUUUUAUACCUUGUAUAGGACUCACAACAUUUUAGAUCAUCUGAUACAAGAUUAUCAUUGUUUGGUAUGAUUUGACUUGUUAAGAAAAAGAUUGAUAUGCAGGAUUGUGUACCGGUGAUCUUUGAAUGUUGUAUUGUUUAGGAAGACUGCUUUAUCCCAAUUCUUUAUGCUCACAAAUGUUGUAUUUUUAGGAAUAGUACCUUAUCCUUAAUAGUUUAUGCUCACAAAUGUUUAUUAAUCAAAUAUUCAUCAUCUUUAUGAAAUUAGGAAGAUUGAGGACAAGGUUGUGGGUUGAGCUCUCUUCAAUGAUAGCAACAAAAACUUGACGGUGAGUUGAGCAAAAUGGAGUUUUUGGCUCCCAUGGAAUUAUUUAAAGACACCAACUUCUUGGCCAAAGAACAUGAUCUUCUGAGGGUCUUUUUCAACAUGUCUGAUGAAAGGAAGAGUGCAUAUGUGACUACUUUGUUGUAGACUUGGAUGCAUAAUGACAUCUAAGCGAUGGUCCAAAGAAUAUGAAUGCUAGUUUUUUGCUAUGACAUGCUCGUUGCCAUGAUAAUAUAUUAGGGAAAAUUGUGAAUGUUUUGUAAAGCUAAUGAUUGAUUUGAUGACACCAUGAUGGUGAAGAACUACUUUUUGUUGAUAUUAUGAUAUUUAGGCAGGUUAGGAAUAUUUUGUAGACAAUAUGAUGUGUAUGUAGGUUAUGAAUAUUUUGUUGAUAAUAUGAUGCCUAGGCAAGGUAUAACUAGUUUGUUUAGGUUGGUUAUGACGGUUAGAUAUAUGUACUUUGAUGUAAAAUAUUAACUUUAAUGAAGUUAUUUCCUACUCUUUAUUUGUUCCUAAUGUUUUUUCUUCAUUUAUUUACUAUUAUGCAAAAUCCAUCUCGUGAAAAUCUCUUUAGUUUAAGGAGAAUCAAGUUUUUUGAUUUGAAAUGGUAAAAUCAUUCCUUCUACUCAUUGACAUCAUGUAACAAAAUAUAUCCUUGAAGAGUUAACUAAUGCUCCUAACAAUUUAUUUCCAUGUCCUUCAUUCACAUUAUGCACAACUCCAUGCUCAUUCACAUUAUGCAUAACUAUAUACAUAUGCCGAAGAGAAGAAACAACAACUUGAGCGAAAAAAUUUAGAUAUUAAAGUAAAUACUUAAAUUUAUAAAAAAAAAUAAACAAAAUCAUUUUAAUGCGUCUAUGAAAUAAAAAAGCAAUUUAAUUUUUUCUUACUAUUAUAUAUGUUGAUGCACAAAAUCAGCGAGGACUUUGGUACAACAGAAAGUGUUAAGUUUGUGACCUUCGUUAGAUUGCUCCGGACUAGUGUGGAUAAAUAAGUAAAUGGAUAGGGACAGGGAAGCAAACACAAGAUGUACGUGGUUCACCCAGAUUGGCUACGUCCACGGAGUAGAGGAGUUCUCAUUAAUUGUGAAGGGUUUACACAAGUACAUAGGUUCAAGCUCUCCUUUAGUGAGUACUAGUGAAUGAUUUAGUACAAAUGACAUUCGAAAAUAUUGUGAAAGAAUGAUCUCUAUUUAUAGAAGAGAGUUUCUAGUUUCAUUCUGACAUUGACUCGUGUCGUGUUGUGAUUGGCUUCUGAUGUUGACACGUGUUGCGCUAUGAUUGGCUUCUGAUGUCGACACGUGUCGCGCUGUGAUUGGCCUCCUAGUUGGAGGGAAACUCUUCUGGGUCCUUGACGGUAUAACAUUGACCGCUGCUCAGUAGUUUCGAGAUUGGUCAAGUAUGGUACAAACAAUAUAUUAUAUCAAAUUUUAUUAAAAAAAAAGUAUAUAAAAUAUUUGAUCUGGGACAAGGGCAUUUUAGUAAUCAUAUUAGUUUAUAUUCUGAUUAUGUUGAAUUAGUAAACUGUUUUAUGGAAUUCUAUUCCGAUUCCAGACAGUUUUAGUAACCAACUUUAACAAGAAUCUGAUUCUGAUUCUACCUCAUUUCAAUUCCUUCUCAAUCCAAUUCAUUCUCAAUUCAAUUCCUCUCAAUUUGAUUACGGAUUAGUAAACGCACCCUUAGUCUAUUUUGACAGCUAAUCGCAAAUGGAAACGGAAUUGCAAGCACACAUGUCAAUCACUCACAAGUCAUAGGAAAGGAAGAUCCCUUUCCACCUAAUCCAUUAAGUUUGGGAUCCGGACUGUUGAAAUGUUUAAAAGAGUUCCCUAUUUGUAGUCGUUGGAUCAAAUUUCAAUGACUUGAAUUCCGAACUUAAUGGAUUAGAUGGAAAAGAAUCCGUAGAUAAUCCUUUCCCAAGUCCUAACCUAGUACUGUGCUUUGGCGUAUUCUACGCCACUCAAUGUGCUUUCGUGUUCCUCAUCUUCCCAUAAAAGAAAACAAAAAGUAUACAUCCGAGAAAGAAGCACGCACACAGUGAGAGUUCAAGCAAAGCAAGAUUCCAGAAACCAUGUCGGCGAGAACCCACAUCUUAGUCUUUCCCUACCCUGCGCAAGGGCACAUGCUCCCUCUCCUCGACCUUACUCACCAGCUCCUCCUCCGCGGUAUCACCGUAACCGUCUUGGUCACCCCCAAAAACCUCCCUGCCCUAACUCCGCUCCUCUCAGCCAACCCCUCCCCCUCCCCCUUCGUCCAAACCCUAGUCCUCCCAUUCCCUCCUCACCCCAAAAUACCACCCGGUCUUGAGAACGUCAAGGAUAUUGGCCCCCGCGGCAAUCUCGCCGUUAUCGACGCCCUCACCAACCUCCACGACCCCAUCGUCCACUGGUUCAACUCCCACCCCAACCCCCCUACCGCCAUCAUCUCCGACUUCUUCCUCGGCUGGACCUUGCCCCUGGCCCGCCAGCUAGGUAUCCGCAGAAUCACCUUCUACUCUUCCGGUGCUUUCUUGGCAUCUAUUGCAGAUCACUGCUGGCGUAAUUUAGAUAUCAUCAAGUCAUCUCUAGCUGAAUUUCCCGAUGUUCCUCGAUCACCCUCGUUCAAAGCAGAGCAUUUGCCUUCCCUGCCCCGCCGCUACAGAGAAUCGGAGCCCGAGUCAGAGCGUAUGAGGAAUGCCAUGCUUGCCAAUACCGAAAGUUGGGGAUGCAUUUUCAAUAGCUUUCAUGAGUUGGAAGGAGAGUAUUUGCAACACUUGAAGACAAAAAUGGGCCACCCCCGUGUUUACGGAGUUGGCCCAUUGAGCCUACUUGCUUCCGCCGCUAAUGGUGGAAACUUGGAACGGGCCAACCCGAACACAGACACGAGGAAAGAUAACGUGCUCGCAUGGCUUGAUGGGUGCCCGGAGGGGUCUGUGCUGUAUGUUUGCUUUGGAAGUCAGACGUUGCUAAAUAAGCAGCAGAUGGAGGCCUUGGCUUCUGGGCUGGAACAGAGUGGAGCUCGGUUUGUGUGGGUUGUGAAAACGAGCUUGGCCGGGAAGGUGAAUGAUGGGUCCGGAGUCGUACCAGAUGGGUUUGAGGAAAGGGUUGCUGGGAGGGGAUUGCUGAUAAAGGGCUGGGCGCCGCAGGUGAUGAUCCUCGGCCACCGGGCGGUUGGAGGGUUUCUCAGCCACUGUGGGUGGAACUCUGUGCUGGAAGGGAUUGUGGGUGGGGUUUUGAUAUUGAGCUGGCCUAUGAAUGCUGACCAGUUUGUAAAUGCCAAGCUAUUGGUUGAGUACAUGGGCGUGGGCGUGAAGGUGUGUGAGGGUGCCGAUGGGGUACCUGACUCGGCCGAGUUGGGAAAGGCGAUUGCUGAGUCAAUAAGUGGGGAAUCACCGGAGAAGGUGAGAGCGAAGGAGCUGAGGGACAAGGCAGUUGCGGCUGUGGGAGAUGGUGGGAGCUCUUCAAAGGAUUUGGACGAGCUUGUGAAAGAGUUGGGUCAAAUUAAAGUGAGGUGAACAGACUAGCCCAUGAAAGAUCGAUUUUGGAGUGUCAAUAGCAGCUCCGUAAAACAAAUAGGAAUCGGGGAAUAAAGCAAUGGUUAUUUUCUAUUACCGUUUUAUAGAUUUCGUAUAAAAGUCCAGGGGAAUGUUCAACUUUUCCAGAAAUAAAUAUUAUUCGGAUCACACUGAAUGAAUUGAAUGGUAUAUUGUUCUUGCCUGUGAGGCAGGAGAGCAUGAUGAUAAAUUUACCUUAGAACUCAAGGAAGGAACUAGCUUCCCCUUGCUGGUUGUUGAUGGGGCAACAUGGUUAGCCGGUACUAAGUGAAAGCACCACAUGGUCUUCACCAAGAACAUCCUUGAUCCUAAGUUGUAAACUCUGCAAAGAGAGUAAACAAGUAAUUUGAGAAUUCUGCUGCAACAUGGUUGUGCCAGGAAAAUGAAAAUUAUGGAUAUAACUCGGGGUAGGGUGGACGACAACAUUACCUGAAAAUGGGAUGAGAGUUCGUUUAAGAGGAAGAAAACAAAGGAUUAAUCAGGACGGAAGCCAAAUUUGAUCAUCUCAGCAAGGAGUUCUGCUGCUGAAUGGAAAUCCCAUCAGAUAACUUCAUACAGAAAGAGUAUUUUGCUUCAGUUAUACGACACCUUUUGCACACUCUGUUAAUUAAGGCGCUAUAAUCUCUGAUGGAGAUUUGAAGUCCUUUUGCCCACGGCCAUAUAUCCAUCACCCUUUGCACAAUGAGCUUUUAUUAACGUGGUAUAGGCAACUUUUGUCAAAUUGGUAUUGCUGGCAUCGAGAGAAACCAGUAGCCUGUCAGCAUCCUCUAGGUCACCAUAUGCACAAAGGCCACUGACAGUCCAAGCAAAGCAAGUUUCCAACAACCAUGUCUGCAAGAACCCACAUCUUAGUCUUUCCCUCUUUCAAAGCAGAGCAUUUGCCUUCCAUGUUCCGCCACUACAGAGAAUCGGAGCCCGACUCAGAGCGUUUGAGGAA